rnacentral:rRNA from 1 species
CCUACGGGAGGCAGCAGUGGGGAAUAUUGCACAAUGGGGGAAACCCUGAUGCAGCGACGCCGCGUGAAGGAAGAAGUAUUUCGGUAUGUAAACUUCUAUCAGCAGGGAAGAAAAUGACGGUACCUGACUAAGAAGCCCCGGCUAACUACGUGCCAGCAGCCGCGGUAAUACGUAGGGGGAAAGCGUUAUCCGGAUUUACUGGGUGUAAAGGGAGCGUAGGCGGUUUAGCAAGUCAGAAGUGAAAGCCCGGGGCUCAACUCCGGGACUGCUUUUGAAACUGUUGAACUAGAGUGCAGGAGAGGUGAGUGGAAUUCCUGGUGUAGCGGUGAAAUGCGUAGAUAUUAGGAGGAACACCAGUGGCGAAGGCGGCUUACUGGACUGUAAAUGACGCUGAGGCUCGAAAGCGUGGGGAGCAAACAGGAUUAGAUACCCCUGUAGUC